rnacentral:rRNA from 1 species
UACGUAGGGUGCAACGUUAUCCGGAAUUAUUGGGCGUAAAGAGCUCGUAGGCGGUUUGUCGCGUCUGACUGUGAAACCCGAGGCUCAACCUCGGGACCUGCAGUGGGUACGGGCAAACUAGAGUGCGGUAGGGGAGAUUGGAAUUCCUGGUGGUAGCGGUGGAAUGCGCAGAUAUCAGGAGGAACACCGAUGGCGAAGGCAGAUCUCUGGGCCGGUAACUGACGCUGAGGAGCGAAAGCAUGGGGAGCGAACAGG